UCAGCUCGUGCUGUGAAGUGUCGGGUUAAGUCCCGCAACGAGCGCAACCCCUCGCUGCCUGUUGCCACCACGAGAGGUGGGGACGUCAGGCGGGACCGCCGGUGACAAACCGGAGGAAGGUGGGGACGGACGUCAAGUCAUCAUGGCCCUUACUGUCCUGGGCGUACACACGUGCUACAAUGGCCGGUACAGAGCGCAGCGAGGCCGCGAGGCGGAGCGAAUCGCUUAAAGCCGGUCCCAGUACGGAUUGGAGUCUGCAACCCGACUCCAUGAAGUUGGAAUCGCUAGUAAUCGUGCAUCAGCAUGGCGCGGUGAAUACGUUCCCGGGCCUU
rnacentral:rRNA from 1 species